UACGUAGGGGGCAAGCGUUGUCCGGAAUUAUUGGGCGUAAAGCGCGCGCAGGCGGCGGAUUAAGUCUGGUGUUUAAGGCCGGGGCUCAACCCCGGAACGCAUUGGAAACUGGUUCGCUUGAGUGCAGAAGAGGAGAGUGGAAUUCCACGUGUAGCGGUGAAAUGCGUAGAGAUGUGGAGGAACACCAGUGGCGAAGGCGACUCUCUGGUCUGUAACUGACGCUGAGGCGCGAAAGCGUGGGGAGCAAACAGG
rnacentral:rRNA from 1 species